rnacentral:lncRNA from 1 species
GCCGUCUCCAUCCACCCCGAAGCUCCUGCCCCAGGCGUCCAGGCGCCUCCCCGCCAGGGCAUGGAAGCUGUGUCCGCCCUGCAGCUCGUGAACCUGACCAGCCUCAAUCGCACCGAGCUGGUGGGGCUCCUGUCCCAGCACUCGUCCGCCAACGAGCAGCCCCUGUACAGCGAGUACAAGCCGCCCGUCCGCGACCUCAUCCCCCUGCCCAAGGCUGUGCUCUACCUCCUCAUGGCGGCCCUGGUGGUGGUGGGCGUCGCCUACGCCAUCGUGGGGCACCUCAUCAAGGACCUGGCCCAUGACCUCGUAGACUGGCUGCUGGGGCCACAGCCCGACAAGGAGAACGACUCGGACACUGCGCCCCCGCCCCCUGCAGUGUUCCACCGUGCGCAGCCCCCCAUGGCUGAGCCCCAUAGCCCCGGCGAGGUGCACAUCAUGCUGCAGGGGGGGGCCCAGCCCACAUAGGGCAGGCCCCCCCCCCCCAGCCAUGGACAGGAGGGGCUGAGCCUGCGGGUGCACCCAGAGACCAGCGAGCUGCGCCGGCCACCAGCCCAACACGCCGCGGAGCCCAGAGGCCCAGCUGGGAUGGACGGUGCCUGAGGGCAGGCAAGGACCCCCCGUGGCCAUCAGGGGGGACAGCUGUUCGCCCCCAGCCCCGUCUCCUCUGCCACUUUGGGGCCUCGCUGACGCCAACGACCCGGCUGGGGGACUGUCAGUGGCUAGUGACCCCCACCAGCGGAGCUUCCUGCUGGCCCUGCAGCUGCACCCCACAGAGGGGCCAGGACCCAGGAGGGCGGGUCUGUGCUCGGGGGGGGGGGGCGUGAGCAAGGCAAGGCCUGGCGAAGGGAAGGGCAGGUGCUGCCUAUGGGCCCCUCUGAGUGGGGGGCACAGCAGGGCCACUUCCCCCCAGCCAGAAGCCCCCCUGCACUCAGGACGGGGGGCACAUGGCUCUGGCCACAGCCCCUGCCCUGAGGCCCCUGUGGGGGAGGGGCCCCUCGGGGCUCAGGCAGCACCAGGGACGGAUCCGUUUGUCAAAUAAAACAUUGACUCUGAA